rnacentral:lncRNA from 1 species
UUCCUUUCCAGGAGACAAAACCCCCUUAAGGCGCUGUUCUACUGAGCUACAGGUUUUAGGCCGGGUUUCCUCUUGGCGACAAGCACCAGAGGGAGCUGUUCGUGCGCGGCAGCCCCGUCCCCUCUCCGGCCGUUAGGCUGGCUCCUCCCCGAGAAGGCGGAGGGCUGGAGCGACUUCGGCGGAGCGGCGAGGCGAGGCGACGGGAGGCGCUGCCGUAGCAGCUGUUUGACAACCCGCCGGCGGCUGGGCCUCUCCGGAGAGAGAGCACUUUGACCCGAACUUAUGACUGUUUGAUCCUGAGCUGAUGGACAGGUCUCCAGAGGCUGGUUCACAGCACAGCAGAAAAUAGCAGGCAAAAUAGGUCAGCUGAUGUCAAGUGAUUGACAAGUGAGUGGCUCCAUGCGCCUUUCAAACUUGUCCUGUGUAGGGAGAUAACAAUCUGUCCUACCAGUCCUGUUCUAAGGACGUGUAUUUUAUCAGCAUGCAAACUAAUGUGAUUAAGGAUUUAGAGGACUCCAAAAGGGAACUUAUUUUUAGCAUUGAUUGUUCUGUAUCAGGAGGAUUGUAAUUGAAUUAUCCUAGAAUGCAAUUAUUAUUAUUUGAACUUCCUGCAUAUUGACUUCAUGUGAGAGAGUACGGUAAGUGGUAAAGACAUAGUUAUUACCUGUGGUACAUAUUCUGUGCGCACUUUUUCAUGUAGUAAAGCUAUCACAUGAGUAAUCAAGUUAAUAUGUACGUGUGGGUUGCUGUUUAAUUAGUAUUGUAUAUUUAUGACAACAAACACUUCCAUCAAUUUAAGAAUAUCCAUUUUUUCAGCUGUGUUUGUUAUUUCUUCUAAACCAAUAUGCUCAUGAUUCUGUGCAAUCUCAUGGAAGAGUGGGCCAUUUUUACUGUUCAAAGCUACAUAUUAAGGCACUACCUUUAUUAGGCCAACCAUAAUGUCACAAAAGUGUGUAAACUUUCAAGUUCCCCAGAAUUCUUCCACUGGCUAGAUUAUGAAAAAAAGGAGAGGGGGAAAGGCUGUUAUUCAAGCCAUCUUUGUC